rnacentral:rRNA from 1 species
CCAGACUCCUACGGGAGGCAGCAGUGAGGAAUAUUGGUCAAUGGCCGAGAGGCUGAACCAGCCAAGUCGCGUGAGGGAAGAAUGUCCUAAGGAUUGUAAACCUCUUUUGUCGGGGAGCAAAAAGGCUCUGCGGAGUCGUAUUGAGAGUACCCGAAGAAAAAGCAUCGGCUAACUCCGUGCCGGCAGCCGCGGUAAUACGGAGGAUGCGAGCGUUAUCCGGAUUUAUUGGGUUUAAAGGGAGCGUAGGCCGGUCUUUAAGCGUGCCGUGAAAUUUUGUGGCUCAACCAUGAGAGUGCGGCGCGAACUGGAGACCUUGAGUGCGCGGAAGGCAGGCGGAAUUCGUGGUGUAGCGGUGAAAUGCUUAGAUAUCACGAAGAACCCCGAUUGCGAAGGCAGCCUGCCGCAGCGUUACUGACGCUGAAGCUCGAAAGCGCGGGUAUCGAACAGGAUUAGAUACCCUAGUA